rnacentral:lncRNA from 1 species
GACUUGCAAAGGGACUUUGGAAUUCUUCCUAGAAAAUAAGUAGAAAGAGAAAUGACAGACAUUUCAUAAUUGACUAUAUUUAAAAUCUCCUUUCAGCAUUUUGUUAGAAUGAAAUAAUUUAUUUAAAAUACAUAUUGCAUGUGUUAACCCAUGAACAGGGGAAAAUAUAAAACAGAAUUGUGUCAAAGCUAAAAAACAUUAUCCAAUAUUUCUACAGAAAUGUAGUUUGAAAUUGAGGGACAAAUUUGGUAAACUACAUUUAUUCAAUGAAGCUUUAGGAUAGAUGUUCCUAAUAUAAUUAUAUGUGCAGAAUGUUAAUUUUUAAAUAUCCAAAUAUUAACAGGAAUGACCCAAUUAUUCAUAAUAAGUAUAUCUUUUUCUUAAACAUUUCAUUUUAAGCUUCAUGAAAAAAAUACAUUAACAUUUUAUGGUUUCCAUAAAAUUGGCUUAUAGCUUCAACUUCCUAUUUUCAUUAACAAUUACCUAUAUCAUAAAAGCAUUAUCAGCAUGGCUAUCACCAUGAAAUCUUUCAGCCAAGACCUUUUUCAACUAUUUUAUAAUACGAAUACAAUCAUAUUAAAUUCUAAGAAAUGGCUUUGAUGUAUGUUUAAAUUCUGAAAUACUUAGUUUGCAACAAAUGUAUUUUAAAUCCUCAAUAUUUGUACUUAAUUUUCAUCUUUACUAUAACUCCCCAAAUUACUUAAUGUUGAAAAAAAUCUGUAUUUGAAAAUGUACACACUGUAUACAUGUAUCAAAAUAUCACGUGUACCCCCAAAAUAUGUAUAACUAUAAUAAACCAAUGAAAAACAAAAAAUAAAUUU